GUGUCAGCCGCCGCGGUAAUACGGGGGGGGCAAGCGUUGUUCGGAAUUACUGGGCGUAAAGGGCUCGUAGGCGGCCGACUAAGUCAGACGUGAAAUCCCUCGGCUCAACCGGGGAACUGCGUCUGAUACUGAUUGGCUUGAGUUCGGGAGAGGGAUGCGGAAUUCCAGGUGUAGCGGUGAAAUGCGUAGAUAUCUGGAGGAACACCGGUGGCGAAGGCGGCAUCCUGGACCGACACUGACGCUGAGGAGCGAAAGCCAGGGGAGCAAACGGGAUUAGAUACCCCUGUAGUCC
rnacentral:rRNA from 1 species